rnacentral:pre_miRNA from 1 species
AGUAGAAUUGCUAGGUUAUAUGGUAACUAUGAUUAACAUUUUGAGGAAUUAUCAAACUGUUUUCAAAAGUGACUGCACCAUUUUAUAAUCCCACUAGUAGU